rnacentral:rRNA from 1 species
UCUACGGGAGGCAGCAGUGAGGAAUAUUGGUCAAUGGGCGCGAGCCUGAACCAGCCAAGUAGCGUGAAGGAUGACUGCCCUACGGGUUGUAAACUUCUUUUAUAAAGGAAUAAAGUGAGGCACGUGUGCCUUUUUGUAUGUACUUUAUGAAUAAGGAUCGGCUAACUCCGUGCCAGCAGCCGCGGUAAUACGGAGGAUCCGAGCGUUAUCCGGAUUUAUUGGGUUUAAAGGGAGCGUAGAUGGGUUGUUAAGUCAGUUGUGAAAGUUUGCGGCUCAACAGUAAAAUUGCAAUUGAUACUGGCAGCCAUGAGGACAGUUGAGGUAGGCGGAAUUCGUGGUGUAGCGGUGAAAUGCUUAGAUAUCACGAAGAACUCCGAUUGCGAAGGCAGCUUACUAAACUGCCACUGACAUUGAUGCUCGAAAGUGUGGGUAUCAAACAGGAUUAGAUACCCCGGUAGUC